CAUUCACUUGGGCGUGACCUUGGGUACUCUUUGUAUGUUGAGAAUAUUAAUCCUUUGUCUAUCUCAUGUGUGGUCUACCUCUAUGCCAAAAAGAUCUUUGCAAGCCACAACAAGAUCUCUGCAAGCUGCAAUUCUGCAUGGAUGAAAUGCUGCAAGAUGAAACAAUAAGAAUAAAUGCAAAUUCUUAUUCUUGGGUCUGCAAGCUCAUGCUAUCCUUGGAAGGAGAAGGCGGGAUGUCCUGACCAUUCAUGACAUCAGAGGUUGAUGAGUUCAGUGGGAGGUAACAGUGGGAUACAGCUGCUAAAACAGCUGAAAAGGGACCUUCGCAUGCCUUCAUGGAGAUAGAGGGUUUACAAUGUCCUUCCCACCUCUGUGAAAGGGGCUCACUCUGGAGCCCUAGAGAAGGGUGAGAGGGCUGGAGCCCCCUUCCUGUGAGGAGUUGGCCCUGCUCAAUUUGGAACAGAGCAAGACUAUCCCUGCCUAGGGGGGAGCAGAUGAACCUCUGUGCCCAGAGGGCAGAGUGGGGUCCACGAGACAUCCCAGGGAGGUGGGUCCCAGCUGAGAGUGAGGAGGAACUUUUUCCUUAACUACCUAUUUCCAGAAUUGCAUCCCAAGUGCCUCCUACCCCUUUUCUUGCUUUAUCUUCUCCCUCACAGUGUUUGCAAUUUCUAGCAUACCAUACAUUUUAUUAAUUUUUUGUACUGUGUCCCUUUACUAAAGUGUCAGCCCCAUGAGGACGGGAGCGUUUGUUUUGUUCACUGCUGUGUCCCUUCCACAACCAUUGUUAUUGUUUCUCCCACUCAGAGCUGUGCAGAAAUGGGAUGAGCUGCUGAAUAGGUGGUGAGUGCCCCAUCAGGAGAGGCGAGCAAGCAGAAUCUGCCUGGCCACUUAGCAGGCAUUCUGUGCAGGGGGAUCCCAGUCUUCAUCUGCAGUUUUCCUACCUAGGUGAGGUCCGGAAGGGCCUUUGGGUCAACAGGAGACCCCCCUGGGCCUCCCAGGGUGGCGAGGGGCCUGGGAGUCAGCCAUCUGGAGCACCAGAGCUCUCCAACUGGGUCAGCUUCUGUUUAUGUUCUUGUCCUGGCCCAUCCUGCACCCCGGCCCCACCCUUGGUGAGCUUCAGUCCAGCCUCAACUCUCCUCCCAGCAUGAGGCCCUUGUGUUUUGGAAAAUCAACCGGCAUCACACCAGACUGAAAAUAUCUCAAAAUAUCGCUUGCGACUUCCUCCUGCUCCCCGAGGCCCCGCCUGGGCGGGCAGCAACCUUUCCCUUGCUGUUGAUUUUCAAGAAAGGCUCUUCCAUCACUGGGAUGCAGGGAAUUUCCAGUAUUUUUCUUCCUCUGGCCCUUUUUUUUUUUUUUUUUUUUUGGCCUUCAGAGGCCCACAUUGUGUUGUCCUGACGCAGCUCCAGGCAAUGUUUUGCCCCAAAGGCCUGGGCUGGGUCAGCGAGGUUUGGACCAGCAGCCCUGGCUCCUUGGGCGCAGGAACAAUACCUCCAUAAUUCACUGAAAGCUCCCCUCGGAUGACUUUUUCCUGUUGCUGAUUGUCUCCAAGUUCCAGACCUGCACAAACUGCUUUUUCCCCGCAGCUAAAUUUAAAAGGGCCAGACCCUGGAAACAGUGCACUAGGCUGCCUUCACCGUGGGGGCAAAGGUGGCGGAGGCUGGAUGGAAGUAGAGCCCUGAAGCCACCGCUUCCCUGCCAGCCCUGACACACAUACACAGGUGGCUGCAGGACUGUCUUCAUUUUAAUUCCUCAAACUGCCCUUAGAGCUCCUUGGGCCACAGCCACAGAUUGUGGACUUCAGAAAAGUUACUAGAUCUGUAGAGGUCAGAGGGGCUACAGCCGAGAAGACUUAAGGAGUCACAUGUGCUGUCCCAGAGCUGGGGAACAGGCAGGUCUGGAGGUCCACAGGGUGAUGCCAGAUCCCACUGCGGGGUGGAUUCAAAGGGCAGGAGGAGAUUCCGCUCAGGCAGGGCAGAGCAGGGAGAGCACAGGCAUCCAGGGGAACAGCUGAGCCCCUGGUCGCUGGAGGGUGCAGACACAGGUGGCAUGCCUACCCACCGGGGAAGUGGUCAAGGGCUGACAGUGCCAGGUGAGGGUCAGGUGCCAAGAGGGCCCUUCCCGGUUCUUGCAUUUGUGGCCACCCCGGGCCGGCAAGGAGGGGCUGCGCCAGCCAUCUCAGAGGUUCCAGCAGCCUUGCCCCUCUGCCCACAUUGGCCUAGCCUGUGGCUUUUGACAAGUGUAGAGUGAAAUCCUCUGGGCUUGACUUCUAGCUUUGCCACUGACUUGCUGUGUGACCUUCCAAAAGCCUUUUGCUUCUCUCUGCCUCAAUGUCCCCAUCUUCAAAGUGGGAAUAAGAAGAAGCACUUACAUCUUAGGGCUCUUAUGAGGUGUAAGCAAGUUAAUACUUAUAAAGUGUU
rnacentral:lncRNA from 1 species